rnacentral:rRNA from 1 species
GAUCCUGGCUCAGAUUGAACGCUGGCGGCAGGCCUAACACAUGCAAUCGAACGGUAACAGGAAACAGCUUGCUGUUUCGCUGACGAGUGGCGGACGGGUGAGUAAUGUCUGGGAAACUGCCUGAUGGAGGGGGGAUAACUACUGGAAACGGUAGCUACUACCGCAUAACGUCGCAAGACCAAAGAGGGGGACCUUCGGGCCGUCUUGCCAUCGGAUGUGCCCAGAUGGGAUUAGCUAGUAGGUGGGGG